rnacentral:rRNA from 1 species
GACGAACGCUGGCGGCGUGCCUAAUACAUGCAAGUAGAACGCUGAAGGAGGAGCUUGCUUCUCUGGAUGAGUUGCGAACGGGUGAGUAACGCGUAGGUAACCUGCCUGGUAGCGGGGGAUAACUAUUGGAAACGAUAGCUAAUACCGCAUAAGAGUAGAUGUUGCAUGACAUUUACUUAAAAGGUGCAAUUGCAUCACUACCAGAUGGACCUGCGUUGUAUUAGCUAGUUGGUGAGGUAACGGCUCACCAAGGCAACGAUACAUAGCCGACCUGAGAGGGUGGUCGGCCACACUGGGACUGAGACACGGCCCAGACUCCUACGGGAGGCAGCAGUAGGGAAUCUUCGGCAAUGGACGGAAGUCUGACCGAGCAACGCCGCGUGAGUGAAGAAGGUUUUCGGACCGUAAAGCUCUGUUGUAAGAGAAGAACGAGUGUGAGAGUGGAAAGUUCACACUGUGACGGUAUCUUACCAGAAAGGGACGGCUAACUACGUG